GUGCUCAAUUCGGUAGCACAUACACUAAAAUUGGAACAUUACAGAGAAGAUUGCCAUGGCCCUGCACAAGGUUGACAUGCAAAUUCGUGAAGUGUUCCAGAUGCUG